rnacentral:rRNA from 1 species
AACACUUUUAUAUAUAAACCUUUUUAUUAUAUAAAACUUAUUUAACCUAUUAACAACUGAAAAGCUUUCUUCCAUUAUAGUCUUGCAGCUAAAUUAGCGUACCUUUUGCAUCAUGGUAUAACAAGAACCCCUCUAUUAGUCGACCCCGAAAGCCCUCAGAGCUGAAACUCUGCUGAUAUAGUUACCAAUACUACACUGUUGCAUUAUUGUGAUAAGACACGGUUUCAGAGGCUACAUACCCUCGCGGGGGCUGAUAGCUGGUUGCAUAAUUAUUUGAUUUAAGUCAAGGCAGCUUUACGCUAUAAAGAUAUUAAAGGCAAAGCUUUAAUAUUUACCCUAUUAAUCCUCCAACAUGUCUAAUAUAAGCUUAAUACCGGCUAACUCCCGUUCCUGGGACACACAAUAUUAACUUAAAUUACAAACAAUUGAAAACACAUAUGCAAUACUCGCCUCUACAGAGACACCUAUAAUGUUAUAACUAGUAUAUAAAAUCCAAUUUAACCCUAUUAAUUAUAUAUUUAAAUAAUUAAAAACUAUAUUUAAGUAAGGAACUCGGCAAAAUAUUAUCCAGCCUGUUUAUCAAAAACACCGCCUAUUGAAAAUAUAAUAGGUCCAUCCUGCCCAGUGAUAUUUAUUCAACGGCCGCGGUAUCCUGACCGUGCAAAGGUAGCAUAAUCAUUUGCUUUUUAAUUGAAGGCUAGUAUGAAAGGACACACAAGGAUAAAGCUGUCUCACUUAAAUUAUCUAUAAACUGAUAUUCAGGUGAAGAAGCCUGAACUAUAAUAAAGGACAAGAAGACCCUAUAGAGCUUUACUGGCCAGAGCAUCCCACUUAAUACCAGUUUGGUUGGGACAACCAAAAGACAUUAUCACCUCUUUUUGCGAUAUUAAAAUACUCACCCAAUAAUGUAUAAAAAAUAGCUACCUUAGGGAUAACAGGCUAAUCCCAUUAGAGAGACCACAUUGACAAUGGGGGUUGGCACCUCGAUGUUGGCUUAGUGUUACUAUUAGGCGCAGCCGCCUAACCAGUUGGUUUGUUCAACCAUUAAAUCACUACAUGAGCUGAGUUCAGACCGGCGUAAGCCAGGUUAGAUUCUAUCCUUAUUAUCUAAAUAAAACAUAGUACGAAAGGACCUGGCUUUAUAGAUUAGAUCUUUAUAAAUUAAUAUUAUU